UACGUAGGGUGCGAGCGUUAAUCGGAUUUACUGGGCGUAAAGCGAGCGCAGGUGGUUUAAUAAGUCUGAUGUAAAAGGCAGUGGCUCAACCAUUGUGUGCAUUGGAAACUGUUAGACUUGAGUGCAGUAGAGGAGAGUGGAAUUCCAUGUGUAGCGGUGAAAUGCGUAGAUAUAUGGAGGAAUACCGGUGGCGAAAGCGGCUCUCUGGACUGUAACUGACACUGAGGCGCGAAAGCGUGGGGAGCAAACAGG
rnacentral:rRNA from 1 species